UUUAUAUCAGGCUCGGACCGGAAGCGAGGGAUCUGGUGUCUAUAUUAUAUCGGUACGCUCCGUGAAAGCUACAGGCAUUUACGCGAGGAGCCUGAGUCGUGACCUGUGCCCACAGCUCCCUGCUCUCUCCCUCCGUCCACACCCACACGACCAUCUGUCCCACGCUGAGCUCAAAGGACAGGAGAGGACAGUCGUGAUGGGAGCUGUACCUGGCACUGUGCUCCUCCAUCUGCAGCAGGCUUCCUCAGCUCUCAGUCUUCAGUCUUAUUCACUCGCACUGGAAACAUCGGAGCUGCACUGGAUCAUCAUGGAGCGACUGCAGAGACGUGAACACAACAUCUGGCUUUAAAAAGUCACUUAGUCUUUUUUAGACAUUUCUACUUUUAUAAGAUCCAGAAGAAGCUUUUUCAUUUAAAUUUCAUGUAAAUGUGUUGUUGGUUUUAUUCUAUUUGUGUCACUGUUCCUGUUCUGUUUGUGUUUUUCCUGUUGAGGUUUCUAAACACUACAAACCACCAAACAUAGACUUAUUGAAAUGAGGUCCACCAUGAAAUCAUUAAAAUGACCUACCUUUACAAAACAUCAUUUAACCAGCUGAACUUGUUUCUCACCUUCGGCUUGUUUCUGUUAUGCAUAUCUUCUCCGAGCAGACGAAGGUGCAGCUACAAAUACUUUUGGACGUCUUGGAUGUUUCACUGGAAAUUUCACUAUAUGUUUCACUGAAUCUUUCACUGAAUCUUUCACUGGAUGUUUCACUGGAUGUUUUACUGGAUGUUUCACAGGAUGUUUCACUGGAUGUUUAACUUGAUGUUUCACUUGAUGUUUCACUUGCUGUUUCACUGGAUGUUUCACUGGAUGUUUCCCUGGAUGUUUCCCUGGAUGUCUCCCUGGAUGUUUCACUGGAUGUUUCCCUGGAUGUUUCACUUGAUGUUUCACUGGAUGUUUCACUGGAUGUUUUACCGGAUGUUUCACCGGUGUUUCACUGGAUGUUUCACUGGAUGUUUCCUGGAUGUCUCCUGGAUGUUUCACUGGAUAUUUUACGUGAUGUUUCACUGGAUAUUUUACUGGAUGUUUCACUGGAUGUUUCACUGGAUGUUUCACUGGAUGUUUCCCUGGAUGUUUCUUUUCUUUGAGCUCUGACUUUAACGCACCUCCAGUAAAGUGGGAGUGUCUUCAAAGAUUGUAAAAGCAUCAAGAGGAUUCACCUCCUAUUUAAUUCCAGAAACCUACAAGUUACAGCAUUAUACAUUGGUUAUUUGAUAACAUGGUAAAUGGAAUUUGACUAAAAUAUAAACCUGCCGCUGCUCAUGUCUUUCACUUUAUUUUUAUUUCCUGUUCACAUAGAAGUGUAGUAGCGUUUUGUUUGGAGAUACUUGUGCGCAUGCGCGAGGUGUGUUACUUCCUCGCGUCUAACGUUGCCGUGGAGUGGGCUCCUCUCUGAAGUUAGUUUACCAUUGGACGGUUGGGGGGGGGAGUUAAGAGGGACUCCCAGGUUGACCAAGACUAUUUUCAGAUGUGCGAACCCUUUGUUUUAUUCUUAAAAAUAAAAUAAAGAUGAUUUCACAGUCUUUUCUCAACGAAUACACAAAUAAAACAAAGGUCUCACAAACCUGACUCUGUGUUUUAAUCUGAAUUCAAAUGCUCUGGGUUCAUCGGAGUCUAAUUUUAAAAAACGGUGUUUUCACAAAUGACAUAAAAGACUCAAUAAUCUGGGACUGUGUUUGAAUGGGUUGAUCUAGUCCAGGCGAGACAAGUCUAACUCUGUGAAAGAUGUGGAAUGACUCCUUUUUGUGUGUUUCACUCAUCUGAGACAUUAUUAUAAAAACAGUGUCAUCAUGUAUAAAAUAAAAAUAUCUCACAGAUCAGAAGAUUUAAAAGAUCUGUGAGACAAAAAAAAAAUGUAGUUAUUAUAAUGUAUUAAUUUAUAAGAAAGUGUUUAUUGGUUAAUCUAGUCCAGGUUUGACAAAUCUAACAUUUGGUUUUUGACCUGUUGUUGUGAUCCCGAUGGUAAAAACAGUGUCAUCAUGUAUAAAAUAAAAGGUCUCAAAGAUCUGAAGCUGGGUUUUAAAAGGUACGUAUUGUUAUUAUAAUGUAAUAAUUUAUAAGUAAGUGUUUAUAAGGUAAACUAGUCCAAGUUUUACAAGUCUAACUUGUGGUUUAAGACCUGUUGUAGUGGUCUAAUGGUGAAAAUACAGUGUCACUGCAAUUACUUCAUGAAUAAAACAAAGGUAUCAGAUCUGAAA